rnacentral:rRNA from 1 species
AUUGAACGCUGGCGGCAGGCCUAACACAUGCAAGUCGAACGAGUGGCGGACGGGUGAGUAAUGUAUGGGAAACUGCCUGAUGGAGGGGGACAACAACCGGAAACGGAAGCUAAUACCGCAUACCAUCGGAUGGGACCAGAUGGGUUUAGCGAGUAGGUGGGGUAAAGGCACACCUAGGCCACGAACCUUAGCUGGUCUGAGAGGAUGACCGUCCACAUUGGAACUGAGACACGGGCCAGACACCUACGGGAGGCAGCAGUGGGGAAUAUGGGACAAUGGGCGAAAGCCUGAUGCAGCCAUGCCGCGUGUGUGAAGAAGGCCUUCGGGUUGUAAAGUUCUGUCAGCUGGGAGGCGUUACCCGCAGAAGAAGCACCGGCUAACUCCGUGCCAGCAGCCGCGGUAAUAC